UACGGGGGGAGCAAGCGUUGUUCGGAUUUACUGGGCGUAAAGGGCGCGUAGGCGGUCGUGACAAGUCACUUGUGAAAUCUCCGGGCUUAACUCGGAACGGUCAAGUGAUACUGUCGGACUAGAGUACAGAAGGGGCAACUGGAAUUCUCGGUGUAGCGGUGAAAUGCGUAGAUAUCUGGAGGAACACCGGUGGCGAAGGCGGCAUCCUGGACCAACACUGACGCUGAGGAGCGAAAGCCAGGGGAGCAAACGGG
rnacentral:rRNA from 1 species